rnacentral:ribozyme from 2 species
GCCUUAAUGCAGCCUCCCGCCAGGGAGCCGGUCACAAGCCCGCAAAUGCAGAGUGAGGC